rnacentral:rRNA from 1 species
AUUGAACGCUGGCGGCAGGCCUAACACAUGCAAGUCGAGCGAGCGGCGGACGGGUGAGUAAUGUCUGGGAAACUGCCUGAUGGAGGGGGAUAACUACUGGGGAAGGUAGCUAAUACCGCAUACCCUCAGCUAUUCCCAGAUGGGAGUAGCUCGUAGGUGGGGUAACGGCUCACCUAGGCGACGAUCCCUAGCUGGUCUGCGAGGAUGACCAGCCACACUGGAACUGAGACACGGUCCAGACUCCUACGGGAGGCAGAAGUGGGGAAUAUUGCACAAUGGGCGCAAGCCUGAUGCAGCCAUGCCGCGUGUGUGAAGAAGGCCUUCGGGUUGUAAAGCACUUUCAGCGGGGAGGCGUUACCCGCAGAAGAAGCACCGGCUAACUCCGUGCCAGCAGCCGCGGUAAUUC